CCACCACUAAGCCAGUGGUGAACUCCACAUCCGCAUCCUUUGCUGAGGAUACGGUUAACGGAGCGAAAGCGACGUUCAACCGCAAAACAAGCAGAGGGGGCUUAGUGGUGGGGUGACUGCGUACCUUUUGUAUAAUGGGUCAGCGACUUAUAUUCUGUAGCAAGGUUAACCGAAUAGGGGAGCCGGAGGGAAACCGAGUCUUAAUUGGGCGUUAAGUUGCAGGGUAUAGACCCGAAACCCGGUGAUCUAGCCAUGGGCAGGUUGAAGGUUGGGUAACACUAACUGGAGGACCGAACCGACUAAUGUUGAAAAAUUAGCGGAUGACCUGUGGCUGGGGGUGAAAGGCCAAUCAAACCGGGAGAUAGCUGGUUCUCCCCGAAAGCUAUUUAGGUAGCGCCUCGUGAAUUCAUCUCCGGGGGUAGAGCACUGUUUCGGCUAGGGGGCCAUCCCGGCUUACCAACCCGAUGCAAACUGCGAAUACCGGAGAAUGUUAUCACGGGAGACACACGGCGGGUGCUAACGUCCGUCGUGAAGAGGGAAACAACCCAGACCGCCAGCUAAGGUCCCAAAGUCAUGGUUAAGUGGGAAACGAUGUGGGAAGGCCCAGACAGCCAGGAUGUUGGCUUAGAAGCAGCCAUCAUUUAAAGAAAGCGUAAUAGCUCACUGGUCGAGUCGGCCUGCGCGGAAGAUGUAACGGGGCUAAACCAUGCACCGAAGCUGCGGCAGCGAACGUAUCACCCAAGACAACUUUACGGAGUUGACGAUUGACGGAGCGAAGCGACGUCAAAGCGUUCAUUAAAGUCGAGUUGGCUUAGGGAUACGUUCGUUGGGUAGGGGAGCGUUCUGUAAGCCUGUGAAGGUGUGUCGUGAGGCAUGCUGGAGGUAUCAGAAGUGCGAAUGCUGACAUAAGUAACGAUAAAGCGGGUGAAAAGCCCGCUCGCCGGAAGACCAAGGGUUCCUGUCCAACGUUAAUCGGGGCAGGGUGAGUCGACCCCUAAGGCGAGGCCGAAAGGCGUAGUCGAUGGGAAACGGGUUAAUAUUCCCGUACUUGGUGUUACUGCGAAGGGGGGACGGAGAAGGCUAUGUUGGCCGGGCGACGGUUGUCCCGGUUUAAGCGUGUAGGUGUGUGUUCCAGGUAAAUCCGGUUCACUUUAACACUGAGGCGUGACGACGAGGCACUACGGUGCUGAAGCAACAAAUGCCCUGCUUCCAGGAAAAGCCUCUAAGCAUCAGGUAACACGAAAUCGUACCCCAAACCGACACAGGUGGUCAGGUAGAGAAUACCAAGGCGCUUGAGAGAACUCGGGUGAAGGAACUAGGCAAAAUGGUGCCGUAACUUCGGGAGAAGGCACGCUGACACGUAGGUGAAGUGAUUUACUCAUGGAGCUGAAGUCAGUCGAAGAUACCAGCUGGCUGCAACUGUUUAUUAAAAACACAGCACUGUGCAAACACGAAAGUGGACGUAUACGGUGUGACGCCUGCCCGGUGCCGGAAGGUUAAUUGAUGGGGUCAGCGCAAGCGAAGCUCCUGAUCGAAGCCCCGGUAAACGGCGGCCGUAACUAUAACGGUCCUAAGGUAGCGAAAUUCCUUGUCGGGUAAGUUCCGACCUGCACGAAUGGCGUAAUGAUGGCCAGGCUGUCUCCACCCGAGACUCAGUGAAAUUGAACUCGCUGUGAAGAUGCAGUGUACCCGCGGCAAGACGGAAAGACCCCGUGAACCUUUACUAUAGCUUGACACUGAACAUUGAGCCUUGAUGUGUAGGAUAGGUGGGAGGCUUUGAAGUGUGGACGCCAGUCUGCAUGGAGCCGACCUUGAAAUACCACCCUUUAAUGUUUGAUGUUCUAACGUGGACCCGUAAUCCGGGUUGCGGACAGUGUCUGGUGGGUAGUUUGACUGGGGCGGUCUCCUCCUAAAGAGUAACGGAGGAGCACGAAGGUUGGCUAAUCCUGGUCGGACAUCAGGAGGUUAGUGCAAUGGCAUAAGCCAGCUUGACUGCGAGCGUGACGGCGCGAGCAGGUGCGAAAGCAGGUCAUAGUGAUCCGGUGGUUCUGAAUGGAAGGGCCAUCGCUCAACGGAUAAAAGGUACUCCGGGGAUAACAGGCUGAUACCGCCCAAGAGUUCAUAUCGACGGCGGUGUUUGGCACCUCGAUGUCGGCUCAUCACAUCCUGGGGCUGAAGUAGGUCCCAAGGGUAUGGCUGUUCGCCAUUUAAAGUGGUACGCGAGCUGGGUUUAGAACGUCGUGAGACAGUUCGGUCCCUAUCUGCCGUGGGCGCUGGAGAACUGAGGGGGGCUGCUCCUAGUACGAGAGGACCGGAGUGGACGCAUCACUGGUGUUCGGGUUGUCAUGCCAAUGGCACUGCCCGGUAGCUAAAUGCGGAAGAGAUAAGUGCUGAAAGCAUCUAAGCACGAAACUUGCCCCGAGAUGAGUUCUCCCUGAGACUUAGAGUCUCCUGAAGGAACGUUGAAGACGACGACGUUGAUAGGCCGGGUGUGUAAGCGCAGCGAUGCGUUGAGCUAACCGGUACUAAUGAACCGUGAGGCUUAACCUUACAACGCCGAAG
rnacentral:rRNA from 1 species